rnacentral:rRNA from 1 species
CAGCAGCCACGGGAAUACAGAGGGUGCAAGCGUUAAUCGGAAUUACUGGGCGUAAAGCGCGCGUAGGUGGUUUGUUAAGUUGGAUGUGAAAUCCCCGGGCUCAACCUGGGAACUGCAUCCAAAACUGGCAAGCUAGAGUAUGGUAGAGGGUGGUGGAAUUUCCUGUGUAGCGGUGAAAUGCGUAGAUAUAGGAAGGAACACCAGUGGCGAAGGCGACCACCUGGACUGAUACUGACACUGAGGUGCGAAAGCGUGGGGAGCAAACAGGAUUAGAGACCCCGGUAGUCCCUGUCUCUUAUAC